rnacentral:rRNA from 1 species
UACAGGGGGCGCGAGCGUUGCUCGGAAUCACUGGGCGUAAAGCGUACGCAGGCGGACCGUUAAGUCGGAUGUGAAAUCCCAGGGCUCAACCCUGGAAGUGCAUUCGAUACUGGCGGUCUCGAGUACGGGAGAGGAGAGCGGAAUUCCUGGUGUAGCGGUGAAAUGACGCAGAUAUCAGGAGGAACACCGGUGGCGAAGGCGGGUCUCUGGGCCGAUACUGACGCUGAGGAGCGAAAGCGUGGGGAGCGAACAGG